rnacentral:rRNA from 1 species
CCGAGGAGUCCUGGCCGUUCGCGAGUCGUAGGGGCCCCCACUGACUAACCCCGAAGGCGUAGCGAAAGCGAGAGAGCGUGUUGGAGGGCAUCGACCGGGAGAGGUGUCGUGGCAAAGUCGUGCGGGUUGACGUCGUGGAGAAGAGAGGGUCGCGGCCUCGGUCGUUUCUCUUGAUUCUCUAGCCUCACUCGCCCUCCGAGCCGUGCCCGAUCCCGCCGGUGCGGUGUCUCGUCCUCCGCGUCGUCCUCUCACCGUGAAAUGUUGCCUCCAGUCGGCGGUGACUAGGCGCGGCGACGACGUUUGCGCGGUUGUUUCCUUGGUUCUCCAUGGGAUUUGCGGGGCAUCAGCCGUCAUCCUCCUACCGCCCAUCGGUGAGAUCCCGCGGCUUGAACUAGUCCGAUUUCCUCGUCGAGUUUAGGCACUGCACGCGGGCGCAUCACCCCCGGGUCGGCGGUGAAAACCGUUUCCGAGUACGACUCGGCCGACUCCGGUGUAGCGAGCGGCCAGGGACCCGAAAGAUGGCGAUCCACGCCCGGUCGGGAUGAAGCCAGAGGAAACUCUGGUGGAAGUCCGAAGCGCCUCUGACGUGCAAAUCGAUCGUCGGAACCGGGUGUAGGGGCGAAAGACCAAUCGAGCCGUCUA